rnacentral:rRNA from 1 species
GGGCCCGCACAAGCGGUGGAGCAUGUGGUUUAAUUCGAAGCAACGCGAAGAACCUUACCAGGUCUUGACAUACUCGUGCUAUUCCUAGAGAUAGGAAGUUCCUUCGGGACACGGGAUACAGGUGGUGCAUGGUUGUCGUCAGCUCGUGUCGUGAGAUGUUGGGUUAAGUCCCGCAACGAGCGCAACCCUUAUUGUUAGUUGCCAUCAUUACUAGGUUGGCACUACUAGCAAGACGUGCCGUACGACGAAACCGGAGGGAAGGUGGG